rnacentral:rRNA from 1 species
UUGGUGGAAACUUUUUGGGUACGAGAUGGGCCCGCGGCCUAUCAGCUUGUUGGUGGGGUAAUGGCCUACCAAGGCGACGACGGGUAGCCGGCCUGAGAGGGCGACCGGCCACACUGGGACUGAGACACGGCCCAGACUCCUACGGGAGGCAGCAGUGGGGAAUAUUGCACAAUGGGCGCAAGCCUGAUGCAGCGACGCCGCGUGAGGGAUGACGGCCUUCGGGUUGUAAACCUCUUUCACCAGGGACGAAGAGUGAUUGACGGUACCUGGAGAAGAAGCACCGGCCAACUCACGUGC